rnacentral:tRNA from 1 species
GCGGCUGUGGUGAAAAUGGUAGACACGCAGUCUUGAGGGGGCUGUUUCAAUUGAAGUGAAGGUUCGAGUCCUUUCAGCCGCA